CGUGAAUCAUAUUGAAGGAUCCCAGACAAACUGAAAAAGCUUCUAGAAAACACUCUGAAGCGUUCGUGAUCUUAGUGAGGAGGAGGGUGCUGUGGGUCAGAGACUCACCGGAACAUGCUUGGAUGAUCACAUUUUCUAAAUCAUCUGUUUUUGACGAACGCACUGCCCGAGCCUCAUUCUGACCAAUGAUAUGUCUGUGUUGUCUGUGCAAACAUUUUGUCACUGCUGUUUGCUGUGAAGACAAACAGGAAGCAGAGGAAAGCCUGCAGGUUAGCAGAGUCAUCACUGUGUUGUCUGAUCUACAGCGAUACGGCUGUGGAUGGCUUCAGAGGCAUACAUCGAAGACAGCUCACUGGUUUGACUUGCUGCUGUUGUAACAACUGUCUGCUGCUCCUCACUCCACUCACUCCCCUUGUUUGGUUGUCGGCUCUUGGUCUUCUUGGAUGGAAUCUUCAGAUUCACCUGAGCUCGG